CACACACACACACACACACACACACAUACCCCAAACCCGCCCCACCCUCUGUUCAGCACCACGCGGGUUUCAGUAAACGUUGGCUGGGUGGCUGGAGAAGAGAACAGAACUCACCCUUGCUCCUGGGUGAGGGCCAGCUGCACGGCAGUGAUGUCCUUAGGAGUUGCUGAGGCUUGAAGGAUUGCGUGUGUCUCUUGGCUUUCUGAAUUGCUCUAACUGAAUUUUCUUCUCUUUCCUCCCAUACCUGUUUCUUCCCUGCAGCAUCUUCUUGCUCCUUUUACCACUUUCCUUUUGUACUGUCACAUUUGCGAGUCUUCAUUUCCUUCCCUCUUUCUUCUGCUUUUUCUUCUCUUUUUCUCUCUUCCUGCAUCACCUCCUGAACAUUUCUGAUUUGUGUAGCUGCUGCUUUCUUGUGACUGGUGAACAGUAAGUCACAUUGCAUCUUCUUCUCUUUUGGCUCUGUUGCUCAUGCUCUGAGACGUCUCUGUUUUCUUCUGGUCUACCUGUUACAUACGCAUGAGGGACCCGGGGUAGUGUCAGAUAAGUUACCUGUUACUGUAUUUAGUUAAGUGAACAGCUUUUAGUGUAGUACAUUAGCCUCUGUUUGUCCCAAAACAAGAGGUUUUAGGAAGCAAACUGUUUACGUUGGACAAUGUCAUGUUACUAGAUAAAUGGAGAUAAAUGUUACCUAGAAAGACAGGGUCAGGAUGUCACUAAGGGUUAAAUUUGGUUUAGUAGUACUUUCUGACCAGAUGUCAAAGAGGUAAUGGGGUAGAACUGGGUUCUGUGGCUGGACUUGUUAUUUCUUGAUCAACAUUCCUAUACUCUUGUAAACUGUAUUUAUUUGCCUCAUUCACACAGCAGAUAAAUUCAGUGCCUGCUGUGCCCCAGGUUCUCUUUUAGGCUCUGGGAAUAUAGAAGAGCGUCUCAGAAAGACCCCCUGAAGGAACUCCCAUUCUAAUAGUGUAGAAGAGACGUACCUAUGAACAGAGUAGACGGGCAGGUAGGUCAGGUGCCAAUGGCAGUACUGAACUCUUCUAAGUCCUGGAGUGCCCAGGGCUCAAUCUUUCUGUCCCUUCACUGUCUCCCCUUACUCCCUAAGUGAGCUCCCCCUUCCCACCCCUCAUGCACUGGUGGCUUUAUAUACUGCCCCUGACCUACGUACUCCCUCAACAGCCCUUCAACUUAGAGAUCUAAAAAUAGGGUGGCUCUGUACUAGCCUGGUUUUCCUGGAUCAGUCCUGAUUCAUGCCUGUUGUCCUGGCUUAAUCAUUAAUAGCACCCCCCCCUUUCGAUCAUAAAUGUCCUUCUUUGGAUAAGAACUUACAGGUAUCUCA